GACGAACGCUGGCGGCGUGCUUAACACAUGCAAGUCGAACGGAAAGGCCCUGCUUUUGUGGGGUGCUCGAGUGGCGAACGGGUGAGUAACACGUGAGUAACCUGCCCUUGACUUUGGGAUAACUUCAGGAAACUGGGGCUAAUACCGGAUAGGAGCUCCUGCUGCAUGGUGGGGGUUGGAAAGUUUCGGCGGUUGGGGAUGGACUCGCGGCUUAUCAGCUUGUUGGUGGGGUAGUGGCUUACCAAGGCUUUGACGGGUAGCCGGCCUGAGAGGGUGACCGGCCACAUUGGGACUGAGAUACGGCCCAGACUGCUACGGGAGGCAGCAGUGGAGAAUAUUGCACAAUGGGCGGAAGCCUGAUGCAGCAACGCCGCGUGCGGGAUGACGGCCUUCGGGUUGUAAACCGCUUUCGCCUGUGACGAAGCGUGAGUGACGGUAAUGGGGAAAGAAGCACCGGCUAACUACGU
rnacentral:rRNA from 1 species